CGCGCGGGACGACCCGCAGCAGCGUCCAGAACUUCGCAGGACGACCUGC
rnacentral:ncRNA from 1 species